GGAUAACCUGCCCUAUCGUCUGGAAUAACCUCGGGAAACUGAGAAUAAGGCCGGAUAAUUCACAAUGCCUGGAACGGUUUGUGGAUGAAGGUAGGAUGGGUCUGCGGCGUAUCAGGUUGUAGGGGGUGUAAAGGACCCCCUAGCCUUCGACGCGUACGGGUGUUGGGAGACAUAGCCCGGAGAUGGAUUCUGAGACACGAAUCCAGACCCUACGGGGUGCAGCAGGCGCGAAAACUUCACACUGCAGGAAACUGUGAUGAGGGAACUCCUAGUGCAUGCACUAUGUGUAUGUAGAUCCUACUCUUAACAAGUAGAGGGAAAGGGCUGGGAAAGACCGGUGCCAGCCGCCGCGGUAAUACCGGCAGCUCAAGUGGUCGUCGCUUUUAUUGGGCCUAAAACGUCCGUAGCCUGUUUGGUAAAUCUGUGGGUAAAUCAAUCCGCUCAACGGAUUGAAUUCUGCAGAGACUGCCAGACUAGGGACCGGGAGAGGUGUGGGGUACUCGAGGGGUAGGGGUAAAAUCCUGUCAUCCUUUGAGGACCACCAGUUGCGAAGGCGCCACACUGGAACGGAUCCGACGGUCAGGGACGAAGCCUAGGGGCACGAACCGGAUUAGAUACCCGGGUAGUCCUAGGUGUAAACGCUGUGAACUUGGUGUCGGGGGUCCGCAAGGGGUCCCCGGUGCCGGAGUGAAGAUGUUAAGUUCACUGCCUGGGGAGUACGGUCGCAAGGCUGAAACUU
rnacentral:rRNA from 1 species